CCUACGGGUGGCAGCAGUGAGGAAUAUUGGUCAAUGGCCGGAAGGCUGAACCAGCCAUGCCGCGUGAAGGUCAGUGCCCUAUGGGCGUUAAACUUCUUUUGUGCGGGAGCAAUAAUGGUCACGUGUGGCCAGGCGAGAGUACCGUACGAAUAAGCAUCGGCUAACUCCGUGCCCGCGGCCGCGGUCAUGAGGGGGGUGCAGGAGUUAUCCGGAUUUAUUGGGGUUGAAGGGUGCGCAGGCGGUGGAGUAAGUCAGAGGUGAAUGCCCCGGCUCAACGGGGUGAAGUGCCAUUGAUACUAGCUUGCUGGAAUGCGGAUGCGGUGGGAAGAAUGUGUGGUGUAGCGGUGAAAUGCAUAGAGAUCACACAGAACACCGAUUGCGAAGGCAUCUCACGAAUCCGCGAUUGACGCUGAUGCACGAAAGCGUGGGUAUCAAACAGGAUUAGAUACCCGGGUAGUC
rnacentral:rRNA from 1 species